GACGAACGCUGGCGGCGUGCUUAACACAUGCAAGUCGAACGGAAAGGCCCUGCUUUUGUGGGGUGCUCGAGUGGCGAACGGGUGAGUAACACGUGAGUAACCUGCCCUUGACUUUGGGAUAACUUCAGGAAACUGGGGCUAAUACCGGAUAGGAGCUCCUGCUGCAUGGUGGGGGUUGGAAAGUUUCGGCGGUUGGGGAUGGACUCGCGGCUUAUCAGCUUGUUGGUGGGGUAGUGGCUUACCAAGGCUUUGACGGGUAGCCGGCCUGAGAGGGUGACCGGCAACAUUGGGACUGAGAUACGGCCCAGACUCCUACGGGAGGCAGCAGUGGGGAAUAUUGCACAAUGGGCGGAAGCCUGAUGCAGCAACGCCGCGUGCGGGAUGACGGCCUUCGGGUUGUAAACCGCUUUCGCCUGUGACGAAGCGUGAGUGACGGUAAUGGGUAAAGAAGCACCGGCUAACUACGUGCCAGCAGCCGCGGUGAUACGUAGGGUGCGAGCGUUGUCCGGAUUUAUUGGGCGUAAAGGGCUCGUAGGUGGUUGAUCGCGUCGGAAGUGUAAUCUUGGGGCUUAACCCUGAGCGUGCUUUCGAUACGGGUUGACUUGAGGAAGGUAGGGGAGAAUGGAAUUCCUGGUGGAGCGGUGGAAUGCGCAGAUAUCAGGAGGAACACCAGUGGCGAAGGCGGUUCUCUGGGCCUUUCCUGACGCUGAGGAGCGAAAGCGUGGGGAGCGAACAGGCUUAGAUACCCUGGUAGUCCACGCUGUAAACGGUGGGUACUAGGUGUGGGGUCCAUUCCACGGGUUCCGUGCCGUAGCUAACGCUUUAAGUACCCCGCCUGGGGAGUACGGCCGCAAGGCUAAAACUCAAAGGAAUUGACGGGGCCCCGCACAAGCGGCGGAGCAUGCGGAUUAAUUCGAUGCAACGCGUAGAACCUUACCUGGGUUUGACAUGGAUCGGGAGUGCUCAGAGAUGGGUGUGCCUCUUUUGGGGUCGGUUCACAGGUGGUGCAUGGCUGUCGUCAGCUCGUGUCGUGAGAUGUUGGGUUAAGUCCCGCAACGAGCGCAACCCUUGUUCACUGUUGCCAGCACGUUAUGGUGGGGACUCAGUGGAGACCGCCGGGGUCAACUCGGAGGAAGGUGGGGAUGACGUCAAGUCAUCAUGCCCCUUAUGUCCAGGGCUUCACGCAUGCUACAAUGGCUGGUACAGAGAGUGGCGAGCCUGUGAGGGUGAGCGAAUCUCGGAAAGCCGGUCUCAGUUCGGAUUGGGGUCUGCAACUCGACCUCAUGAAGUCGGAGUCGCUAGUAAUCGCAGAUCAGCAACGCUGCGGUGAAUACGUUCCCGGG
rnacentral:rRNA from 1 species